CCUACGGGUGGCAGCAGUGAGGAAUAUUGGUCAAUGGGCGCAGGCCUGAACCAGCCAAGUCGCGUGAGGGAAGACUGCCCUAUGGGUUGUAAACCUCUUUUAUAAGGGAAGAAUAAUGACUACGUGUAGCUAGAUGCCCGUACCUUAUGAAUAAGCAUCGGCUAACUCCGUGCCAGCAGCCGCGGUAAUACGGAGGAUGCGAGCGUUAUCCGGAUUUAUUGGGUUUAAAGGGUGCGUAGGCGGUGUGUUAAGUUAGUGGUAAAACGUCGGGGCUUAACCUUGGUGGGCCAUUGAAACUGGAGUACUUGAGUACAGAAGAGGUAUGCGGAAUGAGUAAAGUAGCGGUGAAAUGCUUAGAUAU
rnacentral:rRNA from 1 species